AGCUCCAAUAGCGUAUAUUAAAGUUGUUGCAGUUAAAAAGCUCGUAGUUGGAUCUCGGGCGUGGUGUCCACCGGUCGGCCGCAAGGUUUGUUUUACUGGUGCACCGUGCUCUUCUUGCAGAGACGUCUGUGUGCACUUCGCUGUGUGCGCUUACGCAUUCGCAACGUUUACUUUGAAAAAAUUAGAGUGUUCAAAGCAGGCACGUACGUGGCUUGAAUACAUGAGCAUGGAAUAAUGGAAUAGGACUUCGUUUUUUCCUAUUUUGUUGGUUUCUCGGAACGAAGUAAUGAUUAAGAGGGACAGUUGGGGGCAUCCGUAUUUCGUUGUCAGAGGUGAAAUUCUUGGAUUUACGAAAGACGAACAACUGCGAAAGCACUUGCCAAGAGUGUUUUCAUUAAUC
rnacentral:rRNA from 1 species